GAUGAAGAAUGCAGCGAAAUGCGAUAAGUAAUGCGAAUUGAAGAAUUCCGUGAGUCAUCGAAUCUUUGAACGCACAUUGCGCCCUCUGGUAUUCCGGAGGGCAUGCCUGUCUGAGCGUCAUUGUCAACCCUCAAGCUCAGCUUGCUGUUGGGUCCCCGUCGUUGCUUUAACGGCGGACCCGAAAGGUAAUGGCAGAGUCCGUGAGACCCUAGACGCAGCGAGCUUCUAGCACGCGUCUGGACGUUUUUCGGGCUCGGUCUUAACUAGAUGAUAACUUCCGAUUGACCUCAGAUCAGGUAGGGAUACCCGCUGAACUUAAGCAUAUCAAUAAGCGGAGGA
rnacentral:misc_RNA from 1 species